rnacentral:tRNA from 1 species
CAUUAAGAAGCUAUGAAACAGCACUAGCCUUUUAAGCUAGAGAGAGGGGGACACACACCCCCCUUAAUGA